GACGAACGCUGGCAGCGUGCUUAACACAUGCAAGUCGAACGGAAAGGCCCUGCUUGCAGGGUGCUCGAGUGGCGAACGGGUGAGUAACACGUGGGUGAUCUGCCCCUUACUUUGGGAUAAGCCUGGGAAACUGGGUCUAAUACUGGAUAGGACCAUGCUGUAGGUGGUGUGGUGGAAAGAUUAGUUUCGGUAAGGGAUGAGCUCGCGGCCUAUCAGCUUGUUGGUGGGGUAAUGGCCUAUCAAGGCGUCGACGGGUAGCCGGCCUGAGAGGGUGGACGGCCACAUUGGGACUGAGAUACGGCCCAGACUCCUACGGGAGGCAGCAGUGGGGAAUAUUGCACAAUGGGCGCAAGCCUGAUGCAGCGACGCCGCGUGGGGGAUGACGGCCUUCGGGUUGUAAACUCCUUUCAGCCAUGACGAAGCCCUUGUGGUGACGGUAGUGGUAGAAGAAGCACCGGCUAACUACGUGCCAGCAGCCGCGGUAAUACGUAGGGUGCGAGCGUUGUCCGGAAUUACUGGGCGUAAAGAGCUCGUAGGUGGUCUGUCGCGUCAUUUGUGAAAGCCCGGGGCUUAACUCCGGGUUGGCAGGUGAUACGGGCAUGACUGGAGUACUGUAGGGGAGACUGGAAUUCCUGGUGUAGCGGUGAAAUGCGCAGAUAUCAGGAGGAACACCGGUGGCGAAGGCGGGUCUCUGGGCAGUAACUGACGCUGAGGAGCGAAAGCAUGGGUAGCGAACAGG
rnacentral:rRNA from 1 species